GGAUUACGCAUUUAUUUCAGACUGAAAGUUUUGAUUUUAAUUGCAAAAUGGCAGCUAUGGUGUGGAGUUUAUGGUAUAGCAGAAACCAGCUAAUUUGGAAUCAGAAGCCUAUAUCGAGCCAGGAAGUGUGCUUUCGGGGAAACUCAAUUCUUCAAGACUGGACUAACGCCAGAACACAGCAUCAGCCCUCUAAAACCCCCACAUUGGCAAGUGGAAGAAGCUCUCAAUGGGUUCCCCCUCCUAGCAGUUAUUUGAAAU
rnacentral:misc_RNA from 1 species